rnacentral:lncRNA from 1 species
GCCAUAUCUGAACAAAAUCCAGGCUGCCCUGGGAUGUAAUGGGAGAGGACAGAUUUGAGGUCUUCGCGGGGACUGAGGGAACAGGGGCAGCGGGAGCCGCAGUUCACGUGGUUUACUCUACGGACCAAAAGUAUUGAACAGAGGUGUCAGCCCUGCUGCUCUGGCUAAGGACCCAAAUGUCUAUGGGGCUUGCCAAGAAAAUAAGACUCUUUUAUCUUGGGCUUCUUACAAGUGCUCGCGUUCUGGUGAUUGUUUCUCAUCAACCGGCUUUAUUGUUUUCUGAAACCUGACCAUCACCGCCUCAGUUAUGUUGUCAUUGCAAUUCAUCGCAAGUGAAAUGAAGUCUGCAGAGGGUCAGCACGAAGGACAGCGGAGGAAAAACUCCAGAGAGAGAAGAGAUGAGUUUGGGAAUAACCCAAGUCUCCUCCAGACAAGAGCCUUGAACCUCAAAAGCCAAGAAAACAAUGGCUCAAGGAGAGAAUCACUGGAAAAGCAAAUGCAUUUCUCAAUAAAGAACACUCUAUUUAAUUUGAAAAAAAAGGAGGAUUCAGCAACAGAUAAACAUGCUCAAGGCUGGGAAUUAUUUGCUAGUUCAUUCUUUCUAUAAAAAGGAUUAUCUCUGUG